AAUAAUAAUAAUAAUAAUAAUUAGGAUGAUUAAUUUAUUUCUUAAUUUGCCUAUCAUAUCUAAUUUGAUUUGGGGUGCUUGCAGGGGUCUGCUCAAUUGUUCUGAGAAAGGCAGUGACUUAGAAACAUCAAUGCCAUGAAGUUUUUUAAGUAUCAGACAGCUGAAUUUUCUUCAAGCUAUAUCUUAUUUUCUCGCUUCCCUGCAAGUCUACUUUAGGAGUUUGAUCAAUCAUAUUUUGGAUAGUGACUUUAGCUGCUGCAACCUUUUUUGCUGUCUGCCUUUUGAAUUGAUGUUGCUUUUUCUUUCUUUUUCUCUAGUUGUUAAUUAAUUACAGUAAUACAGAAAAGUUCAAGAGCUUUCAUAUAUGUGCUUUCGUAGGCUAUAUUAUAUAUAUCAUGGUACAUGUACAUGUCAUCUAGAGUCCAUUUGCCUAGCUAUACAGAAAUUUCUGCAGGACAUUAACACGUAGGCCAACCUUAGGAAUUAUAUCAUUACAUUUUUAUAUACAAGUUUAUUUGCUAUGGAAUUCUUGCAUUUAUGUUUAUUACGUUUUGCAAUUAUUUUCCCCAUUUUCAAGAGAAAUGUUAGCAUACAACUAUUGUAUGUAUAACAGUUUAUUAUAACCAUUAUAAUCAAUUGUCAAAAUCUAUCCAUUAUAUGUACAACGGCUG
rnacentral:misc_RNA from 1 species